rnacentral:rRNA from 1 species
GAUGAACGCUGGCGGUAUGCUUAACACAUGCAAGUCGAACGGUCACUCCGGUGAUAGUGGCGGACGGGUGAGUAACGCGUGAGAAUCUGUCUUCAGGUCGGGGACGAACAGUUAGAAAUAGACUGCUAAUACCGGAUGUGCCUAUGGGUGAAAGAUUUAUUGCCUGAAGAAGAGCUCGCGUCAGAUUAGCUAGUAGGUGGUGUAAGAGACUACCUAGGCUUUGAUCUGUAGCUGGUCUGGGAGGACGAUCAGCCUCACUGGAACUGAGACACGGUCCAGACUCCUACGGGAGGCAGCGAGUGGGGAAUUUUCCGCAAUGGGCGAAAGCCUGACAGAGCAAUACCGCGUGAGGGACGAAGGCUCUUGGGUCGUAAACCUCUUUUAUUAGGGAAGAUAAUGACGGUACCUAAUGAAUAAGCAUCGGCUAACUCUGUGCCAGCAGCCGCGGUAAU